AUUUAGGCAGGUUAGUCUGCCGUAGCGUCACCGCGGGAGCGAAGAAGCCUUUUGGGGUGUAAAGCUCUGUCAGCUGGAACGAACACAAUGACGGUACCAGCAGAGGAAGCAUCGGCUAACUACGUGCCAGCAGCCGCGGUAAGACGUAGGAUGCAAGCGUUGUCCGGAUUUAUUGGGCGUAAAGAGUUCGUAGGCGGUUAGUUAAGUCUGGUGUUAAAUCCCGUGGCCCAACCACGGAGCUGCAUCAGAUACUGGCUAACUUGAGUGCGGUAGAGGCGAGUGGAAUUCCCAGUGUAGCGGUGAAAUGCGUAGAUAUUGGGAAGAACACCAGUGGCGUAAGCGACUCGCUGGGCCGUAACUGACGCUGAGGAACGAAAGCCAGGGGAGCGAAUGGGAUUAGAUACGCAGUAGUACAACGUAUUUUAUUCCCAGGUCAUCAACCGGGGGCUAUUGCAAGCCGAAUAAUAAAGGCAUUUUAACACCCCGGUAUUUU
rnacentral:rRNA from 1 species